GACGAACGCUGGCGGCGUGCUUAACACAUGCAAGUCGAACGGAAAGGCCCUGCUUUUGUGGGGUGCUCGAGUGGCGAACGGGUGAGUAACACGUGAGUAACCUGCCCUUGACUUUGGGAUAACUUCAGGAAACUGGGGUUAAUACCGGACAGGAUCUCCUGCUGCAUGGAGGGCGUUGGAAAGUUUCGGCUGUAGGGGAUGGAUUGGCGGCUUAUGAGCUAGUUGGUGGGGUAGUGGCUUACCAAGGCUUGGACGGGUAGCCGGCCUGGGAGGGGGGACGGCGACAAUGGGCCUGAGGUACGGACCAGACUCCAACGGGAGGCAGCAGGCGGGAGUAUUGCACAAUGGGCGGGAGCCGGAGGCGACAACGCCGCGUGCGGAAAGACGGCCUUCGGGGUAUGAACCGCUUUAGCCUGAGACGACGCGUUAGUGACGGUAAUGAAUGAAGAAGCACCGGCUAACUACGUG
rnacentral:rRNA from 1 species